rnacentral:rRNA from 1 species
CGUCAAAUCAUCAUGCCCUUUAUGUCCUGGGCUACACACGUGCUACAAUGGCCGGUACAGAGGGCAGCGAAGGAGCGAUCCGGAGCGAAUCCCAAAAAGCCGGUCUCAGUUCGGAUUGCAGGCUGAAACCCGCCUGCAUGAAGUUGGAAUCGCUAGUAAUCGCGAGUCAGCAUAUCGCGGUGAAUACGUUCCCGGGUCUU